UGUCCAGUAGCACCUUAGAGACCAACUAAGUUUGUUCUUGGUAUAAGCUUCGUAUCUGAAGAAGUGUGCAUGCACACGAAAGCUUAUACCAAGAACAAAACUCAGUUGGUCUCUAAGGUGCUACUGGACA
rnacentral:miRNA from 1 species